GACGAACGCUGGCGGCGUGCCUAAUACAUGCAAGUCGAGCGGACAGAUGGGAGCUUGCUCCCUGAAGUCAGCGGCGGACGGGUGAGUAACACGUGGGCAACCUGCCUGUAAGACUGGGAUAACUUCGGGAAACCGGAGCUAAUACCGGAUACGUUCUUUUCUCGCAUGAGAGAAGAUGGAAAGAUGGUUUCGGCUAUCACUUACAGAUGGGCCCGCGGCGCAUUAGCUAGUUGGUGAGGUAAUGGCUCACCAAGGCGACGAUGCGUAGCCGACCUGAGAGGGUGAUCGGCCACACUGGGACUGAGACACGGCCCAGACUCCUACGGGAGGCAGCAGUAGGGAAUCUUCCGCAAUGGACGAAAGUCUGACGGAGCAACGCCGCGUGAACGAUGAAGGCCUUCGGGUCGUAAAGUUCUGUUGUUAGGGAAGAACAAGUACCAGAGUAACUGCUGGUACCUUGACGGUACCUAACCAGAAAGCCACGGCUAACUACGUGCCAGCCGCCGCUGUAAAAC
rnacentral:rRNA from 1 species